ACAGCAGCAGCCGCGGGAAUACGUAGGGUGCAAGCGUUAAUCGGAAUUACUGGGCGUAAAGCGUGCGCAGGCGGUUAUAUAAGACAGAUGUGAAAUCCCCGGGCUCAACCUGGGAACUGCAUUUGUGACUGUAUAGCUAGAGUACGGCAGAGGGGGAUGGAAUUCCGCGUGUAGCAGUGAAAUGCGUAGAUAUGCGGAGGAACACCGAUGGCGAAGGCAAUCCCCUGGGCCUGUACUGACGCUCAUGCACGAAAGCGUGGGGAGCAAACAGGAUUAGAUACCCCUGUAGUCCCUGUCUCUUAUAC
rnacentral:rRNA from 1 species